rnacentral:rRNA from 1 species
AGCAGCCGCGGUAAUUCCAGCUCCAAUAGCGUAUAUUAAAGUUGUUGCAGUUAAAAAGCUCGUAGUUGAAUUUCGGGAUUGACGUGACGGUCAUGCCUUAAGGGGUAUGAACUGUUACAGUUGAUUUCUCACCUUCUGGAGAAACUUGAUGUCCUUUAUUGGGUGUCUUGCGGAUCCAGGACCUUUACCUUGAAAAAAUUAGAGUGUUUAAAGCAGGCAUUUUUGCUCGAAUACAUUAGCAUGGAAUAAUAGAAUAGGACGGCAUGGUUCUAUUUUGUUGGUUUCUAGGACCACCGUAAUGAUUAAUAGGGAUAGUUGGGGGCAUUAGUAUUCAAUUGUCAGAGGUGAAAUUCUUGGAUUUAUUGAAGACUAACUACUGCGAAAGCAUUUGCCAAGGAUGUUUUCAUUAAUCAAGAACGAAAGUUAGGGGAUCGAAGACGAUCAGAUACCGUCGUAGUCUUAACCAUAAACUAUGCCGACUAGGAAUCAGACGAUGUUAAUUUUUUAAUGACUCGUUUGGCACCUUACG